rnacentral:rRNA from 1 species
AUUGAACGCUGGCGGCAGGCUUAACACAUGCAAGUCGAGCGGGGUGAUGGUGCUUGCACUAUCACUUAGCGGCGGACGGGUGAGUAAUGCUUAGGAAUCUGCCUAUUAGUGGGGGACAACAUCUCGAAAGGGAUGCCAAUACCGCAUACGUCCUACGGGAGAAAGCAGGGGAUCACUUGUGACCUUGCGCUAAUAGAUGAGCCUAAGUCGGAUUAGCUAGUUGGUGGGGUAAAGGCCUACCAAGGCGACGAUCUGUAGCGGGUCUGAGAGGAUGAUCCGCCACACUGGGACUGAGACACGGACCAGACUCCUACGGGAGGCAGCAGUGGGGAAUAUUGGACAAUGGGGGGAACCCUGAUCCAGCCAUGCCGCGUGCGUGAAGAAGGCCUUAUGGUUGUAAAGCACUUUAAGCGAGGAGGAGGCUCUUUUGGUUAAUACCCAAGAUGAGUGGACGUUACUCGCAGAAUAAGCACCGGCUAACUCUGUGCCAGCCGCCGCGGUAA